rnacentral:rRNA from 1 species
UCAUGGCUCAGAUUGAACGCUGGCGGCAGGCUUAACACAUGCAAGUCGAGCGGUAACAGGAGAAGCUUGCUUCUCGCUGACGAGCGGCGGACGGGUGAGUAAUACUUAGGAAUCUACCUAGUAGUGGGGGAUAGCUCGGGGAAACUCGAAUUAAUACCGCAUACGACCUACGGGAGAAAGGGGGCAACUUGUUGCUCUCGCUAUUAGAUGAGCCUAAGUCGGAUUAGCUAGAUGGUGGGGUAAAGGCCUACCAUGGCGACGAUCUGUAGCUGGUCUGAGAGGAUGAUCAGCCACACCGGGACUGAGACACGGCCCGGACUCCUACGGGAGGCAGCAGUGGGGAAUAUUGGACAAUGGGGGCAACCCUGAUCCAGCCAUGCCGCGUGUGUGAAGAAGGCCUUUUGGUUGUAAAGCACUUUAAGCAGUGAAGAAGACUCUAGGGUUAAUACCCCUAGACGAUGACAUUAGCUGCAGAAUAAGCACCGGCUAACUCUGUGCCAGCAGCCGCGGUAAUACAGAGGGUGCAAGCGUUAAUCGGAAUUACUGGGCGUAAAGCGAGCGUAGGUGGCUUGAUAAGUCAGAUGUGAAAUCCCCGGGCUUAACCUGGGAACUGCAUCUGAUACUGUUGAGCUAGAGUAGGUGAGAGGGAAGUAGAAUUCCAGGUGUAGCGGUGAAAUGCGUAGAGAUCUGGAGGAAUACCGAUGGCGAAGGCAGCUUCC